rnacentral:rRNA from 1 species
UAGGGAAUCUUCCGCAAUGGGCGAAAGCUUGACGGAGCAACGCCGCGUGAGUGAUGAAGGUCUUCGGAUCGUAAAACUCUGUUAUUAGGGAAGAACAAAUGUGUAAGUAACUAUGCACGUCUUGACGGUACCUAAUCAGAAAGCCACGGCUAACUACGUGCCAGCAGCCGCGGUAAUACGUAGGUGGCAAGCGUUAUCCGGAAUUAUUGGGCGUAAAGCGCGCGUAGGCGGUUUUUUAAGUCUGAUGUGAAAGCCCACGGCUAAACCGUGGAGGGUCAUUGGAAACUGGAAAACUUGAGUGCAGAAGAGGAAAGUGGAAUUCCAUGUGUAGCGGUGAAAUGCGCAGAGAUAUGGAGGAACACCAGUGGCGAAGGCGACUUUCUGGUCUGUAACUGACGCUGAGGCUCGAAAGCGUGGGUAGCAAACAGG